CCUACGGGGGGCUGCAGUGGGGAAUAUUGCACAAUGGGGGAAACCCUGAUGCAGCAACGCCGCGUGAGCGAUGAAGGCCUUCGGGUCGUAAAGCUCUGUCCUAAGGGAAGAAUACUGACGGUACCUUAGGAGGAAGCCCCGGCUAACUACGUGCCAGAAGCCGCGGUAAAACGUAGGGGGCUAGCGGUAUCCGGAAUUACUGGGCGUAAAGGGUGCGUAGGCAGCCCCUCAAGUCAGAGGUGAAAGGCUACGGCGCAACCGGAGUAAGCCUUUGAAACUGUAGGGCUUGAGGGCAGGAGAGGGGAGUGGAAUUCCCAGUGGAGAGGUGAAAUGCGUAGAUGUUGGGAGGAACACCAGUUGCGAAGGCGGCUCUCUGGACUGUAACUGACGCUGGGGCACGAAAGCGUGGGGAGCAAACAGGAUUAGAUACCCUGGUAGUC
rnacentral:rRNA from 1 species